CCCUAUGGGGCGCAGCAGGCGGCUGUGGCAUUCGAUGACGGCCAGGCAAUAGAGCUUGCGGGACGUGUUGCCAUAGGCAAGAGAGCCGAAAUGGCCCCAGUCGAGCUGGAACUGCUCGCCCGGCGGGGACUCGAAGCGGAUGAAAGCCUCCCUGGGUUUGGGCCAAAUUUUUCGCAGGUACUCCCGCAAGAUGCUCAGGCCCCCUUCAAAACCGUGGGCUUCCAGCCGCUGAUGGAUCACGCUGGCCGAAGCUUGCUGAUCUUUCUCGACAAGGCCUUCAACCAGGUCCUUGAAAGGAUCGAGCUUGCUGGCCCUGACCACGGAGGGCCUGACAGGGUUGGGCUCGGCCAGGUAUUUGCUGACCGUGGCACGGUCCAACCGCAGGACUUUGGCAAUCUUGCGGCGGGGGGGC
rnacentral:rRNA from 1 species